UGGUUAUUCAAGUCUCUGUUCAAAGCGUGGGGCUUUAAGUCCAUAGAGCCAUGUGGAAACUGGAGAACUUGAGUCCGGUUACGGUUCGAGGAAUUCCCAAGUGUACCGGUGAAAAUGCGUAGAUACUUGGGAAGAACACCAAGUGCCGAAAGCGCUCGACUGGGCAUGCACUGACACUGAGGGACCGAAAGCUAGGGGAGCGAAAGGGAUUAGAUACCCCUGUAGUCCUAGCCGUAAACGAUGGAUACUAGGUGUUGCUCGUCAUCGACCCGAGCAGUGCCGUAGCCAACGCGUUAAGUAUCCCGCCUGGGGAGUACGCUCGCAAGAGUGAAACUCAAAGGAAUUUGACGGGGGCCCGCACAAGCGGUGGAGUAUGUGGUUUAAUUCGAUGCAACGCGAAGAACCUUACCAGGGCUUGACAUGUCCGGAACCUUGCCGAAAGGUAAGGGUGCCUACGGGAACCGGAGCACAGGUGGUGCAUGGCUGUCGUCAGCUCGUGUCGUGAGAUGUUGGGUUAAGUCCCGCAACGAGCGCAACCCACGUUCUUAGUUGCCAGCAUUCAGUUGGGCACUCUAGGGAGACUGCCGGUGACAAACCGGAGGAAGGUGUGGAUGACGUCAAGUCAGCAUGCCCCUUACGUCCUGGGCUACACACGUACUACAAUGCUGUGGACAAAGGGCAGCCAGCCGGCGACGGUGAGCUAAUCCCAUAAACCACGGCACAGUUCAGAUUGCAGGCUGCAACUCGCCUGCAUGAAGGAGGAAUCGCUAGUAAUCGCAGGUCAGCAUACUGCGGUGAUACGUUCCCGGGCAUUGUACACACCGCCCGUCACACCAUGGGAGUUGGUUUUGCCCGAAGUCGUUACUCCAACAUGCGGGGGGGGACGCCGAAGGCAGGGCUGAUGAC
rnacentral:rRNA from 1 species